GUGUCCUAACGCGGCGCCUGCGCCCCCGCCUAUCGCGCCCCCUCGAACUCAGCCCCGAUACUCAGCCAAGCUCGAUUUUCAGUUUUGCCAGUUUCCAAAGCAGUCGACGCGAUAUCAUGGCUAAGGGAAAAGGUAGUGGUGGUGGAAAAGCUGCGGAAGAGAAAAAACCAGCUGCUGCAGGUGGCAGUGGCGGUGCCGCGGCCGGUGCAACGGCUGCUGCUCCCAAGGGUGGCGACAAAAAGGCCGG